GCAACCUGCCUUUAAGACGUGGAUAACAAUUGGAAACAGUUGCUAAGACAGGAUAGGAAAUUAAGAGGCAUCUUUUAAUUUUUAAAAGACCUUUUUCGAAAGGUAUGCUUAAAGAGGGGCUUGCGCCACAUUAGUUAGUUGGUAAGGUAAAGGCUUACCAAGACGAUGAUGUGUAGCUGGACUGAGAGGUUGAACAGCCACAUUGGGACUGAGACACGGCCCAAACUCCUACGGGAGGCAGCAGUAAGGAAUUUUUGGCAAUGGAGGAAACUCUGACCGAGCGACGCCGCGUGAACAAUGAAGUACUUCGGUAUGUAAAGUUCUUUUAUUGAAAAAGAAAAAAUAGUGGAAAAACUAUCUUGACAUUAUUCAAUGAAUAAGCCCCGGCUAAUUAUGUGCCAGCAGCCGCGGUAAUACAUAAGGGGCGAGCGUUAUCCGGAAUUAUUGGGCGUAAAGGGUGCGUAGGCGGUUUGAUAAGUCUAUAGUUUAAAUGCAGCGCUUAACGCUGUAGCGCUAUAGAAACUGUCUGACUAGAGUUAGAUAGAGGCAAGCGGAAUUCCAUGUGUAGCGGUAAAAUGCGUAAAUAUAUGGAGGAACACCAGAGGCGUAGGCGGCUUGCUGGGUCUUAACUGACGCUGAGGCACGAAAGCGUGGGGAGCAAACAGGAUUAGAUACCCUGGUAGUCCACGCCGUAAACGAUGAGUACUAAGUGUCGGGUUUCGGCUCGGUACUGAAGUUAACACAUUAAGUACUCCGCCUGAGUAGUACGUACGCAAGUAUGAAACUUAAAGGAAUUGACGGGACCCCGCACAAGCGGUGGAUCAUGUUGUUUAAUUCGAAGAUACACGAAAAACCUUACCAGGUCUUGACAUAAUUUUGCGACAUUAUAGAAAUAUAAUGAAGGUUAUCAGAAUUACAGGUGGUGCAUGGUUGUCGUCAGCUCGUGUCGUGAGAUGUUAGGUUAAGUCCUAAAACGAGCGCAACCCUUGUCGUUAGUUGCGACCACGUAAUGGUGAGCACUUUAGCGAGACUGCCAAUGAAAAAUUGGAGGAAGGUGAGGAUUACGUCAAAUCAUCAUGCCCCUUAUGAUCUGGGCUACAAACGUGAUACAAUGGCUGUUACAAAGAGUAGCUACAACGUGAGUUUUUAGCCAAUCUCAAAAAAACAGUCUCAGUUCGGAUUGAAGUCUGCAACUCGACUUCAUGAAGUUGGAAUCGCUA
rnacentral:rRNA from 1 species